rnacentral:rRNA from 1 species
GAGAGGUGCUGCAUGGCUGUCGUCAGCUCGUGUUGUGAAAUGUUGGGUUAAGUCUCGCAACGAGCGCAACCCCUAUCGUCUGUUGCCAGCAUUAAGUUGGGCACUCUGACGAGACUGCCUGGGUUAACCAGGAGGAAGGUGGGGAUGACGUCAAGUCCUCAUGGCCCUUAUGUCUAGGGCUACACACGUAAUACAAUGGCGCGUACAGAGGGAAGCGAACCCGCAAGGGGGAGCAGAUCUCAAAAAGCGCGCCCCAGUUCGGAUUGGAGUCUGCAACUCGACUCCAUGAAGUUGGAAUCGCUAGUA